ACUUUUGCAAAAGCCUUUGGCUUCUCCACGUUAGAUUCCCAGCAUAAAAAACACUCAACUCUCAAACAGCAAACCACCUCCUAUGGCUGACGCGGAGUCUCCUUCUCCUCCUCCUCCGCCUCCGGCGGAUCAACCUGAUCCUCCAUCUUCGCCUCCUGAACUUGCCACACAACUCGAUCCUACUCCUCCCGAGCCGUCCCCAACACAACCCGAUCUUCCUCCUCCGCAUCGAUUCGACCCCAGCCGAAUGAUUGGCAUCAUCAGAAGGAAGGCUUUGAUUAAAGACUUAGCUGCCGUCUACCACGCAGAGUGCCUUGCAUACUGUCAGGAACUUUUGGAACUCCAGAGAAAAUGGGAAGAGCCAUUUGUGAACAUAAAGACUACUGAGGAUUCAAGGAAAGAAACAAUGAGGCCCCCCAAACGCAUAAAGAAAUCGCGCUAGACUCCAUUUUGAAUGACGAUCCCCAUCGUUGCAUCAAAAGCAGCGUUGGAUGACUUGGUUCUUACAGAUACGAGAAGAGGCUAAACACAAGGGACCUAUUUGAAAUCUGUAUUAGCAUUGGUGUGUUAGCUAAACGCGAUAGAUGAUAUUCCUACUUAUUGGAGAAGGAGAUCGAGAUAUGAAAAAGAUGCGACUUCUGGCCAAGUGAAAGCCCAAAUUCAAAAAUGUCUACAUGAUUUUGCUGUUGUUAACGACUUGUAUACUGUAUAUUUUACAUUCCUGUUUACAGAUGUACUUUUAAGACAGAUGCAUCAAUUCAUAUGGUAGUGAUCACCCAGUCCACAUCAA